UACAGAGGGGGCAAGCGUUAUUCGGAAUUAUUGGGCGUAAAGGGCGCGUAGGCGGCUUGGCAAGUGGAUGGUGAAAUCCCUCGGCUUAACCGAGGAACUGCCGUCCAAACUGCUUUGCUUGAGACCGGGAGAGGUGAGUGGAAUUCCCAGUGUAGCGGUGAAAUGCGUAGAUAUUGGGAGGAACACCAGUGGCGAAGGCGGCAUCCUGGACCGGUAUUGACGCUGAGGCGCGAAAGCCAGGGGGAGCAAACGGGG
rnacentral:rRNA from 1 species